rnacentral:rRNA from 1 species
UACGUAGGGGCCUAGCGUUGUCCGGAUUUAUUGGGCGUAAAGGGCGCGUAGGCGGCCACGCACGUCCGUUGUGAAAUCGCCCGGCUCAACUGGGCGGGGUCGGCGGAUACGGCGUGGCUGGAGCAAGCUAGGGGGCAAUGGAAUUCCCGGUGUAGUGGUGGAAUGCGUAGAUAUCGGGAGGAACACCAGUGGCGAAGGCGGUUGCCUGGAGCUUUGCUGACGCUGAGGCGCGAAAGCGUGGGGAGCGAUCCGG